CCCUUAGAUGUUCUGGGCCGCACGCGCGCUACACUGACGCAUUCAACGAGUCUCCUUGGCCGAGAGGCCUGGGUAAUCUUGUGAACGUGCGUCGUGAUAGGGAUAGAUUAUUGCAAUUAUUAAUCUUGAACGAGGAAUUCCUAGUAAACGCAGAUCAUCAAUCUGCAUUGAUUACGUCCCUGCCCUUUGUACACACCGCCCGUCGCACCUACCGAUUGGAUGGUCCGGUGAGGCCUCGGGAUUGUGGCCGGUGCAUUCAUUUGUGUCGGUUGCGAGAACUUGUCCAAACCUUNUNAUCUAGNGGAAGGUGAANUCGUANCA
rnacentral:rRNA from 1 species